rnacentral:rRNA from 1 species
UACAGAGGUGGCAAGCGUUGUUCGGAAUUACUGGGCGUAAAGCGUGCGUAGGUGGUUCGUUAAGUCUGAUGUGAAAGCCCUGGGCUCAACCUGGGAAUGGCAUUGGAUACUGGCGAUCUAGAGUGCGGUAGAGGGCAGUGGAAUUCCCGGUGUAGCAGUGAAAUGCGUAGAGAUCGGGAGGAACAUCUGUGGCGAAGGCGACUGCCUGGACCAGCACUGACACUGAGGCACGAAAGCGUGGGGAGCAAACAGG